rnacentral:rRNA from 1 species
AAUCAACGCUGGCGGCGUGCCUCAGACAUGCAAGUCGAACGCGAAAGAGGGCUUCGGCCCUUGAGUAGAGUGGCGCGCGGGUGAGUAACACGUGGGUAAUUUACCUUUGGGUGGGGAAUAACAGUCGGAAACGGCUGCUAAUACCGCAUAAUGCAGCGGCUCCACAUGGAGACAGUUGUUAAAGCGGGGGAGCGAGCAAUCGCCCUCGCGCCUGAAGAGAAGCCCGCGGCAGAUUAGCUAGUUGGUGAGGUAAUGGCUCACCAAGGCUUCGAUCUGUAGCCGGCCUGAGAGGGCGGUCGGCCACACUGACACUGAAUAACGGGUCAGACUCCUACGGGAGGCAGCAGUCGGGAAGUUUUGGGCAAUGGGCGCAAGCCUGACCCAGCAACGCCGCGUGAAGGAUGAAAUC